rnacentral:rRNA from 1 species
UGGGGAAUUUUGGACAAUGGGCGCAAGCCUGAUCCAGCCAUGCCGCGUGUCUGAAGAAGGCCUUCGGGUUGUAAAGGACUUUUGUCUGGGAGCAAAUACCCGGUGUUAAUAGCGCCGGGGGCUGAGAGUACCAGAAGAAUAAGCACCGGCUAACUACGUGCCAGCAGCCGCGGUAAUACGUAGGGUGCAAGCGUUAAUCGGAAUUACUGGGCGUAAAGCGUGCGCAGGCGGUUUUGUAAGCCAGAUGUGAAAGCCCCGGGCUCAACCUGGGAACGGCGUUUGGAACUACAAGACUAGAGUGCGUCAGAGGGGGGUGGAAUGCCGCGUGUAGCAGUGAAAUGCGUAGAGAUGCGGCGGAACACCGAUGGCGAAGGCAGCCCCCUGG